GGCCGGUGCGCGUCAACCGGACGUGGUGGAGACGGGGAACGGACAUGGUUUUUCCGGUUUCCCGGUCCGGCCAACGCAAUGGCAGUCGAGCCCUGGUCCCACCCGUGCC
rnacentral:sRNA from 1 species